rnacentral:pre_miRNA from 1 species
CUGUGCUGUGGGCUCAGGAGGCAGAGCUCUGGGUACCUCACCAUGGCCUGGACCCCUCUUCUGCUCCCCCUCCUCACUCUGCACAGGUGC